rnacentral:rRNA from 1 species
UAGUCAUAUGCUUGUCUCAAAGAUUAAGCCAUGCAUGUCUAAGUAUAAAAGUAUUCUAUACUUGAAACUGCGAAUAGCUCAUUAAAUCAGUUAUAGUUUAUUUGAUGGUGACCUUACUACAUGGAUACCCGUAGUAAUUCUAGAGCUAAUACAUGCCAAGAAAGCCCUGUCGUAAGGCAGGGUUGUAUUUAUUAGAUAAAAAACCAUUACUCGCAAGGGUUUUUGUGGUGAUUCAUAAUAACUGUUCGAAUCGCGGCGCAAGCUGCGAUUGAUCAUU